rnacentral:lncRNA from 1 species
UAUCCUUAUCUUCCGAUUUACCUUUUCCAUUUCAGAUAGUUACAUUGAAUGAUAUCUCCACAUCCCUUUCUUUGAUCUUCAAUUCAACCAAAUUUUUGAACAUAUGGUGUAAGUUUUGAAUUGGUGAAGUAACUUGAUUUUCACGUGACCACUUGAAGCUUGAUUGACUUUUAGUGUAAAUGCCACUAGACUGUCAUUUGGUUUGCAAGGCUUUCUUCUUCAGUCGAAAUACCCACAAUCUUUUAGUACAGCACAAGAAUAAUCGAACAAUGUUUUCCUUCUUCUUCUCCACCUCUAUUAGUUUCACAAUUCCCUCAAAAACAUUUUAGGCAUCAUUGUUUAUUUGGGUAUUCAUGCAACCUAUGUCCAAGCUGUCUACAACUGUGGCAAAUACACAUGUUCUUUCUUGCCAUUUAUCAAUUCAACUUAAGCAAUGAUAACUUCAGAGUUACAAUUCAAAUACACAACAUUGUAAU